rnacentral:rRNA from 1 species
UACGGAGGUCCCGAGCGUUGUUCGGAAUUACUGGGCGUAAAGGGAGCGCAGGCGGACAGGUCAGUCUGAAGUGGAAAUCCGGGGCUCAACCUCGGACUUGCUUCGGAUACUGCUUGUCUUGAGUUCGUGAGAGGAAGAUGGAAUUCAGGGUGUAGCGGUGAAAUGCUCAGAUAUCCUGAGGAACACCGGUGGCGAAAGCGGUCUUCUGGCACGAAACUGACGCUGAGGUGCGAAAGCGUGGGGAGCAAACAGGAUUAGAUACCCGGGUAGUCCACGCCGUAAACGAUGGAAGCUAGCCGUUGGCAAGUUUACUUGUCGGUGGCGCAGCUAACGCAUUAAGCUUCCCGCCUGGGGUGUACGGUCGCAAGAUUAAA